rnacentral:rRNA from 1 species
GACGAACGCUGGCGGCGUGCUUAACACAUGCCAGUCGAACGGAAAGGCCCCUUUGGGGGUCCUCGAGUGGCGAACGGGUGAGUAACACGUGAGUAACCUUCCCUUGACUUCGGGAUAACUUCAGGAAACUGGGGCUAAUACCGGAUAGGAAUCCUUGCUGCAUGGUGGGGGUUGGAAAGCUUCGGCGGUUUUGGAUGGACUCGCGGCUUAUCAGCUUGUUGGUGGGGUAGUGGCUUACCAAGGCUUUGACGGGUAGCAGGCCUGAGAGGGCGACCGGCCACAUUGGGACUGAGAGACGGCCCAGACUCCUACGGGAGGCAGCAGUGGGGAAUAUUGAACAAGGGGCGGAAGGCGGAUGCAGCAACGCCGCGUGCGGGAUGACGGCCUUAGGGUUGUAAAACGCUUUCAGCAGGGGCGAAGCUUGUGGUGACGGUACCUGCAGAAGAAGCACCGGCUAACUACGUG